UCCCCUGUCGUCUAAAGGUAGGACGCCUCACUUUGACUGAGAAAAUGGUCUGGGUUCGAAUCCCCCCGGGGGAGCCA
rnacentral:tRNA from 1 species